rnacentral:lncRNA from 1 species
CCCGAUGGGACAUAAUAUAUCAGUCAGGUGUGGUAGAAAUGCAUUUAUUUUUAAAUAAUUCAUCCUGAUUGCUGUACAAAUUACAUUUACAAAGAGCGUUGACAUUUGUCAGAGCUCCACCUCAGGAAAUGACUUUGGCAAACUGAUGUGUGUAACUGAACAAAUUUUCUGCAAUGAUUUUUGCAAAACAAUGUAAAGAAGUGUACAGGAAACUUUAUCAUCUUGCAUAAUCGAAUGAACGACGCUCAUAAACGUGUACUGUUGUUCUCAUUAUGAUCCAUGUUAAGUAAACUUUAAAGGGGGUUAAAUAGACUAAAAUACAUUAAUAAAACAUAAAUCACAUUUUAGUAAUUACAAUAUAGUGGCACUAAAAUGUAAUUGGGCACUUGCAAUUCUCAUUUAUUUUACAGAAAACAUUUUAUAAAAUAACUUUAUUAAAAAAAAAAACUAAUAAAAAAAGGACACACUGGAUGCUAAACAUUACAUCAUAUUCAUAGUUAAUAAUACUGGCCUGUACAAAAAAUCUAGCCCGUCAGUUUUAUGGGGUGUAUUUCAUAUCUGUGUUUUAUUUGUUUGUUUGUUUUCCAGCUGUUUUGUUUUCCCUACACAUUCAUAUCAACCUUGCUAUAAAAGAUUAAUUAAAAUAACCUUAAGCAUUGGUAUCAUUCACAAAAUAAAAUUAAAAGAAAAAGGUGCAUCUCUCUAGGCACACAGGUAUGUGGGUAAUGUAAAAUACACCCUUUUUUAUAUUGCUAUACUACACAGUAAUCUGAAAUUCAGUUAGUGUAAAAUGUCUUAAAAAAAAGGUAACUUAAUUUCAGGAAAUGACAUCAGCACCCCAUUUUUGAAGUUCAUACAAAAGCAGUGUGAAAACCUCAAAGACAGCAUUACACCAAGUAUAAACGUUUUUCACCAGAUGAAUGAUGUUUUUAUACAUUUAUAUUGUCCUCCUCUUAGAGGUGCCAGCUGUGCUGGGAGUGAGUUUGGAUCAAGGUCCAAAGGCUUUGGUUAAGGCAGCUGGCAAAACUGUGUAUCUGCCCUGCAAAGUGACCGAUUUGCAAUCUUGGAAUUAUAUCCAUUGGUACCAAAUAAAAGAGGGUGAAGCCCCAUCAAGACUACUGUAUAUCAGUCAUGGAGGCGAUGUCACUCGUGAUACUAACAAUCCCCAAGCAACUGACUUCACAGUGGACAAAACAAAGCUUUAUGAUCUAAAACUGAGUGAUACUCAGACGAGUCAUGCUGGCAUUUACAUCUGCGCCUACUGGGACACAAGCAGCCACAGUGAGAAGAUUUACGCACAUCCUGUACAUGAACUAAUGAAUAAAACAUUUAAAUACAUAAAUUGUCAUUUUCUGUUUAAGUUCUUAAUUUGA